rnacentral:rRNA from 1 species
CCUACGGGUGGCAGCAGUGAGGAAUAUUGGUCAAUGGGCGGAAGCCUGAACCAGCCAAGUAGCGUGCGGGAUGAAGGCCCUACGGGUUGUAAACCGCUUUUGCACGGGGAUAACACCCUCCACUUGUGGAGGUCUGCAGGUACCGUGCGAAUAAGGGCCGGCAAAUUCCGUGCCAGCAGCCGCGGUAAUACGGAAGGCCCGAGCGUUAUCGGGAUUUAUUGGGCUUAAAGGGAGCGUAGGUGGGUGUUCAAGUCAGUUGUAAAAUUGUGGGGCUAAACCUCGCCGUGCAGUUGAAACUGGGAGUCUUGAGUGCACUAGAGGCAGGCGGAAUUCGUGGUGUAGCGGUGAAAUGCAUAGAUAUCACGAGGAACCCCGAUUGCGAAGGCAGCCUGCCGGGGUGCCACUGACGCUGAGGCUCGAAGGUGCGGGUAUCAAACAGGAUUAGAUACCCCAGUAGUC